rnacentral:rRNA from 1 species
UACGUAGGUGGCUAGCGUUGUCCGGAUUUACUGGGCGUAAAGAGUGCGCAGGCGGUCGUUCAAGUCGAGUGUGAAAGCCCCCGGCUCAACUGGGGAGGGUCACUCGAUACUGAUCGACUCGAAGGCAGGAGAGGGAAGCGGAAUUCCCGGUGUAGUGGUGAAAUGCGUAGAUAUCGGGAGGAACACCAGUGGCGAAGGCGGCUUUCUGGCCUGCUCUUGACGCUGAGGCGCGAAAGCUAGGGUAGCAAACGGG